AGUGUAAAAUCCAGCGCUUGGCCUUGUUGAAUCUCAUACAAUUGGCCUUAGCCAGACUGCCAGGGUCCCUCUACGGAACCUUCUUACCCUCAAGCAGAUCGACCCUUCUGCUCAAUUUGGUGUUGUCUGCAAGCUUACUGAGGGACCGCUCGAUCCUCUCACCCAGAUCAUUGAUAGAGAUAUUAAAUAAGACUGGCUCCGACACUAAGCCACGAGGAAUGCUGCUUGUGACCAUCCACCAACUGGAUUUAGCUUCACAAUCUCUGGGCUCAGCCUUCCAGUCAGUUUUUUUUACCCAAUGAAGAGUACACCUGAUUAAGCCAUGGGAAGCUAAGCUUCUCCAGGAGAAUGCAGUGCAAGACAGUGUCAAAAUCUUUACUGCAAUUGAGCUAGGUAACAUCCACAGCCUUUCCCUCAUCUGCUAGGUGACUCACCUGGUCAUAGGAGAUCAGGUUGGUCAAACAGGACCUGCUCUUCAUGAACCUGUGCUGGCUGGGCCUUAUCCCCUGGUUGGCCCGUGCUUGCCAGGUGAGCGCAUUCAAGAUGAACUGCUCCAUAAUCUUUUCUGGUACCGCGGUCAGGCUGACAGGUCUGUAGUUCCCCAGGUCUUCUUUCUGGCUCUUGUUGGUGAGUAUCACAUUGGCAAGCCUCCAGUCAUCUGGGACCUCCCCUGUUGACCAGGACUGCUGAUAUAUUAUUCCCUAAGUACUCUUGGGUGGAUGAAUCUAGGAUUGUUCUCAUAAAAGUAACUGAAAAUGUUGCAUUUUUACUGCUGCAGUUCUAACUUUAAACUGCUUUAAUCAUUUGAUUAUUUAAUUUGACAUGAAAAGUGACAGAGGACUUUAAUGGCUUAAUAGCUCAGAGGAGUCCUAGCUCGUGAAUGAAGUUCAUAAAUGUGGUUUAAAAUUGAUAUAAGUUAUCUUCAGGUAAAUAGACACUAUAUCCCUGAAGGAUAAGAAAAAGCAGCUUAAGCAGAAAGAUUCUCUGUAGAAAUAAAAUUUCAGGGUUGUUUACAUUAUCACAUUUCUAGGUACGUUGCUUUUUUCAGCUGAUGUAUUCCAACAUGAUACUUUAUUUUGGCAUUCCACACUAACAGAAGACACAGGGCAAACUUCUGCUGUCAGGAAAAAAAAGCAUAUGUAAGCCUGUGUGUGUGUGUGUGUGUGUACACUCAAAACGCUAAGGAUGAAAGGACAUUUUUCUAAGUGUGCAUUUGUAUGCAGAUAACUUAUGCACCUUCUGUAUUUCUUUGUUGAGGACGUUACUGCUGUUGGUCCCACAGUGCAGGCAGCGUGUUCGUCAUAGAGGCACUUCAUUGAAUGCUUUUCUCUCUUUGCUUUGUGUUUUGUUAGCAGCACAAAAUCGCUUGUGUCACACACUUUGCAGCUUCUUCCUGUUGUCAUUUGCUAUCAGUAAAAUGCCACUGUUGCCUGCCUUGCCGUCCAGCCGCUGCUUACACUGAAGUCAUGACAUUCAGCCCAAUUUGUGUCUUCUCUAUAAGCCACGUAAGUUUAUCAACAUACAACUUUUUAGGCUCUGUUUUAUUGCUUUCAUGCUGAUCAUAUUGUUCUCUCCAGCCUUGUGUUUAAGUUCUUUUUAUAUCUCAUCUUUCAAAGCUCCUUCUGGUGUUAAGCCCGCUGAUGGUUAUAGUGUUUGAAUAAUAAAUGUAAUUUGUCAGUUCAAAUAAAAACCUCCAUCUCUAUUUUUCCAUGUUACUGUUCCUUUUCUUGUAACUCUUGUCUACUUACUCAGUCUAACGAUCUUGAUCUCUAUAACUUUGUCAAUAAAUGGAACGGUCAAACAGCCUCUCACCAUAAUGCAUUUCUGCUCUGAAGAGAGAGCUGUGCUUUGUGCGUAUUUGCUUCCCACUUGUUUCAAUUUGUCGCAGUGCACUCUCACUCUUUUUAAAGUUUCAAUGUCAUUUCCAGCACUACAACAAGUUGUUCUCCUUCCUCCCUCUUUUUUAAUACAUCAUGUAUCAGAAAACAAAUCUCCAUGGUAAUGUACAUAUUGAUGUUUUAUUUGCUUUUUAAUGUAAAAGUAGGAGCCUGUUUACUUUUUCACUGACAACAUAACAACUUUAACCUCAUUUGCUAAAAGUUUCCAUUCCCUUUUAAAAUGUAUGUGUUUGUACACAGAGGAUUUCACAGCGUUAUGUUGGGAAAGUCCAAGAACAGACCAGCAAAGCUGAGUAGGGGUCAGAGAAUUCAGCCCUUCAAAGAAACUCUGCAAAAAUAUGGAUGAAAAUGGAUCGAUGAAUAAGGUGGUCAUUUUGCAGGCUGUCUUUUCAAGAAGACCCAGGAGAAGAACUAGGAUAUCCUAUAGAAACUUCUGCUUCUCCAUCUGCUUGCAGAGAGGACUAAGAGCUGUGCAGGAGUCCCGGAGAGUAGAUCCCAAUCAAAACAUUACAUACAGAAACACUUGCCAGUGUUUAAAUGAAAAACCUUUGAAAUGGCUUAAUUUACUGUGGCGACUUCAUGGUAGACAUGCAGACACGUGUGUCUGAAGACAUGCUGGUGGAAGGCAGGAUCAUAAAGACAACUUUUCCCCAAAUGCCACAGACAGUAAUAAAGGAGACAGAGGAGGUCGUCCUGCAGUCUUGUAUUAUUUACUUCACUGAUUACAGCUGAAUCCUCGACAACCUCUGUAAGAGGCACGUCAGCAACAAUCAUACAUGGAAUAUUAUUAUCCAAAUGUUAUAAAUACCAUGGAUUUGUAUGCUGAAAGAAAGAAUAAACUGGCCAUCUCAGCACGCUGACCACAACAUCAAUCAAGGCACUCAUUGAUGAGGGUAUAAAUAUUGGUACUUUACUGUUACACAGGUUUAAUAUCAGGAACAGUCUUUUUCCUGUAUCUUUUAAAGACGCUGAAACAAGCCUAACACAGACCAUGAGAUUAUUUCCAGAACUAUCAGUGGCCUAAAUUGACACGAGAUCAUUUCACUGCAUGUAUUGAAGAACAGAAAGUUCUUCAAGGUUUGACCUCAGGGCCACACAGAUUAAUAUUCUCAAGGUCUGAAAAGGGUCUUGAUCAAGGAAAAUUUCAGUUUCCUCCCAGUUUUUUCUCCAACUCUAAAUGACUCUUUGUCCCUGUGAUAUAAUCUCAUUUCUCUGACUUUGAAAGUGCCUUUUCGUUUGUAGCAUUUCACUGACAGUGAGUGGCAGUUGCUCAUUAACCAUUAUCUCUUCUAAUUUUCUGUGAACUAAUUGUAAGGAGCAUAAGAAAAGCUAUUAGAACAGUAGAGCACUGAGGGAAAAUGGAAGAAAAAGAGGAGGUCAAGAUGAUAUUGGGUCAUCGCAAUUUACAGCAAUAUUUUCUUCAAGAGAUAUGAAGGUCUAAAAGUCAAUUGUUAAAAAGAAGGCAGAAACAGACCUGCUAAUACCAAUUCAAAAAUCAAUAGAAAUGUCCAGCUUGAUAGGAACUCCUAAAGCAAUUUCUAGGGAGAAUACUUAACUUAUGACAUGACAAGCAUCUUUAUUGCAUAGGUUAAAUGAGCCAGUAAAAGGAAAAAUAUUGCCAGCAUAUCAGAACAUAGAAGUAGAACUGAAGAACAGGGGUGCUCAGGCACAAACCUAAGGCAGCCAAAAAAACCCAAAACCAAACCCCAAACCCAUACUUGAGCUGACGCUUACUGUCCAAAGCUGGUGUAAAUGUUUGGGCUGGAAGGGAUCUUAAAGAUCACCUAGGUCCAACCCCCCCUACUGUUGAUCACUAGCUUAGGUUGCUCAAAGCCGCUUUCAGCCUGACCUUUAUCUAGCUAAUGUUUCUCAGAGUUUUGAAAGAAAUAGAAAAAACCUUAUUAAAACUAUUGCAGGCUAUGAGUAAAGCAAUUUUGCUCAUAUAUGCAUUAACUUUAACCACAGCAGGACAUUCUUGAUAACUUUAGCUGAUUAUGAAUACAAAUGUUCAGGUUUAUGUACAUAUCACUCACAGUUAAAAUUGAGGGAGAGUGAUGAAGAAUUGUAAAUCAAAAUAUGUACUUGAACACUGUUCUGAUUUGUCAUUGUGAUUUCAAUAACUCACAAUAAAAAGGUAGAAAAAUGCGAAUGACAGUUGUAGGAAUACAAUCUUUCAUAUUUUUCUGUCUUUCAGAAUUCAGACUAAUAGGUGGAUGUAGUAUGAAAAGAAACAAUGAUGGAAAAAAUAGCUAGGUUGGUCGAAUGUAGCAAACAAGUAAGAUAUAGACAUCUUUAUAAAUCAAAUCUACGGCUAGAGCACAGACGGAUUAACAGGUGGUGAAACAACAGAUGACAUAUACAACACUGAUGGUGAAGAAAUAUGACCAGGUUGAAUUGUUUGGACAAGCUUUAAUUCAACACGGCACACUAUUGAAAAUUGAUGGCUUUUAAAAUAAUUUAGGAAUGUUUCUGCCCUACUCACGGUGCCUGCUGGCCCCUGGGACUAGGAGAUAAUCCAGCACCAUUGUUAGGACAACAGACAAUAAAGCUGAGCAGUUGUGGGUGAUCACUUGCAGCAAUUUGAAAUUAUUCUUGUGACCAAUUAUUCAGGCUGUGGCUGGAAUCAGUCAGCGUUGUUCUGACUACAUCAUGCAAUAUUUCCACAGCUCUUAAUGCAGCACCAGGUCAGAAAUUAAAUUGCUAAAAAUAAUCUAAAAAUAAAGGAUUCAUUGUCAUGCAAAGGUUCCCAGUGCUUAGGUGGGGGAAUAAUAGAGAGGGGAUUGCUGAAUUCCUUAUGUGUGAGACCGAGAAAUAAAUGUUAGCCUUGAAGUAGAUUAAAGGCAGGUAAACAGAGCAGCAGAAAUAUCAGUCAUAAUAAUGAAGGUGGAACUAGAUGGCUUUUCCAGGUUGGUAACCUUCGUCAAACAAAUGGAGGAUGAGAUCAUUUGAACACAGACUGGAAGAAUUAUGGAAUGAAAAAUAAGUUGAGUAAAUCACUAAGAUGUCAGGUGAUACUCUGCAGCGAAGAUAGAGGUUUCUUUUUUUAAUUUACUGAAAAUGCAGUUUCUAUUCUCACAGGGACGAAGCCGUAAGAACCCAUUGCCAAGAAAUGCUAUCGGAUACACACCUCCAGCCCUUCACCCAGAAGACUACUGAUGUGUUUGUAGGAUGGAGAUAUUUACAAAAAACUAUUUUUGUACAAGAUAUGUGUGUGCAUAUUGUGGUUUAAGGCUAAAAUAAGCGCCUAAUUGCAACAUCGAUAAAAUCAGAAACACAAGCAACAGAAUAAAUGAGACAGUGUAAGAUCUGUACCCUUUUUAUUGUUUUACCUGGUCAGAGUUCUCCUCUGUAUCUUCCUUUAGAAAGCUGCUUGCCUACUCCCCAGGGUAUUAAAAGGAAGGAUUGAUUCAAGGCUUUAACCGGUGCAGUUCCAGGUGGGACAUUCAGGCUGGGAAAGCCGUGCAUGAGUGUUUUCUGAAAAUAAUAAUAUUCCAUCACUGGCAACACCAAGCAACAGUAAGUAGAAAGAAGGAUUAUGAUUUAUAUCAUGUCAUGAUGCCAUUGGAAAAGAGGGAGAUCCACUCAAGCCUCUACAUAUUUCUCCUGAAAACAGCACUGCGCUCCAGUCAGCUUGAGAUUGUGCCCAAAGGUGUAUUUUUACCAAGAUACAAUAAAACAGCCAUGCAGACUGGUAGGUACCUAUAAUCCCAGUAACAACGGUAGCAUGGGCAUACCAGACAUGCUUUCAAUCUUUCUAGACUUGACAUCCUGACUUCCACACAGUUUAAAUCUUCUAGUUAUCACUAAUGUAUUUUGAACUAUUGUUCAUCUGCUGCCUAAACUCUCAGACAUCUAAGUCUUUCAAAAUAUCUGUACCAUCUGUCACAGUCUAAGAAUUAUCAUUCUAGCUAUCACCAAUAGAAGGAUGGAGUCAUUUGAUAUUAAAUUUAUGCAUAGUGCCAGUCACUUGUUCACCCAGGAUACAAUUGAAUCCACCGCUGGGGAAUUUUGUAUAACUAGUGAGUCAAAGGCUGGGUUAAUCAUAUGCAUAGAGGGCUAAGAAGAGCGUACUGGAAUCACGUGGAUCGUUUGAAAGGGUGGGUAUGAAUGAGCAUAUAUCAGACAGGGUGAGGGUGGGCUUUUAAUUUGUGAUGGUAAAAUUGGGUUGUUUUGGAGCACACUGUGGGGAUAAGGGAGAUAAGAUAGACAUUUAUUCCAAGUAAUGAUUUAUACUAAAACUAGAUCUACCUAGUUUUUACUUCUGUGCCACAUAGCAAGAUGGAGUGCUCCAUGGUGAGUGUGGCCAUGGUGACUACAGGUUACAGUAGCCACCCUGGAAAAGGAAAAAAUCUGCAUUCUACCCUUCUUCAGUGAAGACUCUGUAGCAGUUAAAUUUAUGCAAGUUGAAUAAAUUUAAAAUAAACACUGAGAAGUCAUCCUCGAGAGUUGACUGGUGGCCUAGUCCAGGAAGGCCACCCAGAGGCAGGCAUUCAACCCUCCUCAAGCAGAGCACAGAGCUCAGCCGCUGUCUGCCAUUUCUCAGGUCAGUGAUGCAACUAAUAGCCCUCUAGGUGGCAAAGAUAGAAGGGGCUGUGUUUUGCAUGAAGUCUAGACCACGAUAUCUAUUAGGUUGGGUCCUUUGGGCAUCAUAGAUGGGGAGUACCUGCUCUGACACAGACAUAUCUGCACGGUGAGUGCAGCAGCCGCUAACUCCAGGGCUUGGUGGCAUUUAAGCUGAGGUUUUGAGGACAUUCAUUUAAAUGUUUGCAUCAAAAUUCAGUUACAGAGAUUUAAAUACUCCUGUGGGUCUAGCCCAUGGCACUUAAACAAUAUGAUAAGUUACAUUUUUGUAGCAAAUGAUAAAAAAAACCAACAGAAACUGCUGAUAGGAAGCCUGACUAGGUUUAUGCUGUUAUUAUCUAAGGCAUGCUGCAAGCCAUAGGUGAAUAUUUUCUACAAUCCUUUCAUUGUUAAUGAAGAUCUAAGCUAGCAAAUUAAAAUAAACCCGUUUUAUCACUCAGAUUUAAUGAUUUUCUGCUGGGCCUUUUUAACAUUCUGAAUUAGCCCUCUUCAAACUACAUAGCUCAUCAGAAAAUUUGCCAUCGGUCUUCCAUUUCUUUUCCAUCUAAGGUUACUCUGAAAUGGUUACCUUUUGCCUUCAGAUGUGUAUAUUUAAAGAUGACCACUGCCAGCAUGAACAACUUUUACCUCUCCUUGAGCUAACAGUUCAUAAUGCUGUUUGAACACUGUAGGCCCUUGAGUGCUGAAACAAGGUGAACAUUCAGCUUCAGAAAUUUCAAAUCCAGGUGAAGUUAUCUUGCUGAUUAACUCUGUGAAUUAAACAAGUAGUUCAGUAGAGUGCUACAAUGACAGAAAAUGAAAAUCUCUCCUAAAAUAUAGUAAAACCUGCAGGAAAUACAAGGUACCCACUGAGAAACCAGAUUUCCCUUUAGCUAAAAUGUUUAAUCUUUUUUGACUCUUUUCUAGUACUUCUGGGGUAGAGGGAACAUGGGUACAAAUUUCACAGUGCUGCCAUUGCCCCUGAAAUGCUUAUAUUAAUCUAGAUUUCUAUGCUGUGUGACUUUUGGCAAUAAGGACAGUUAACAUUCCAAUAUCUCUUUUCCUUCAAGGAUACUGAAGAGCAUUGGAAACAUUAAGCUCUGAGGUUGGUAAUUUACUAAUGAGAAGACUGAUUCAAAGAGAAAUUAGGACCUUAAUCUCUCCUCCACUGAAGCCAAUGGAAAUCAUUUUGUGAUUUCCUUGGGCAGACUGUGUGUGGCUGAUAAAAUGUCACACAAGAAAUCACAGAGAAAUUAGACCACAGGUCUAAUAAUUUUUUGCUUGUUCAGUAGAAGAAUAAUUGUCCUUUAUCCUAUGCCUGAAUCCUUUAUAUCAGAGUCCCCUUUUCCUUAAUGCAGUUUAGAAAUAUUCCAAUAAAUUUAGAUUUGCUAAGAUUACAAAUCACCCCCAGCUGUGUGCUGCAGCAGAGGAGACAUGGAACAGCUGAUAGCUUUGGAGCACUACUAUUUUUUUAUUCAGGCCCAGCAUCCUAUGUGUCCUCCCUGGGACCUGUGCUGAAGAUUUCACUGCUACUGGAGGCUGAAGUUCUAAACAGAUUCUGAAAGCAAAGAUCUCUUGGGCAAGUCUCCUACAGAAGCAGCACAAGCCAGUCCCACUGAGCUGAAGAAACAAAGCCUUCAUAUCCUACUCACAUGCUUACAAUUAUUUUAAGCACUUUGGUACAACUGAAUUUUGUGCCUUAUAUCAUAGAAAUGACAUUUUCAAAUUCUUUGAAGUAGUUUACAAAAAGCUCCUCUGUAUUGCUGAGGCCUUUCACUGAACUAAAGCACACAGUUUUCAUUGUGACAUGAUGACGUUGAAGAAGUCACAAUUAAAUUCUUCAAACUUGUUAUUUUAGAGGUAGUAUUCUGCAAGGACCUGAUCAAAAACAGUCUGUACGCAGUAAGGAUCUUUCUGUCUUGAGGUUCUCCCUUAGUGUUUUUCAAUAUCUUCUAUCUCUAGAAAUACUUCAAGCAAUUUAUUAGGAAAUUCCAUAGUGCAAUAUGCAUUGCUGUGUUGCUAGAAGCCUUUAUAUCAACAGCCUAGAUAAGUGCUGGUACUGUUAUCAUAAUACACUUCAACAGAGGUAAGAAAUAUAGUGCUGUAUUUACAAGUUUGAUCCAUUCAGGGCCUAAGAUUGUAGUAACAUAGAUAUAGGAGCAUUUAUGUACAAAAUCACUGGACCAUACACAUGAUUAUUUAUCAAGAUGGUCUAUGUAUAGUGCUAGUGUUAUGCAUUAGCACCUACUUGAUAUAACAGAAAUAAACAUUUCAUGGGAGAACACAACGGACAUUGGAAAGGUAUAUCACAAGCACAGUUUUAUAAUGAACCCAUGGGAUAUUUAUGUUGUACAUUCCCCAUAAAAUGUGUGAGAGCUAGCCAAGCAAAGCUCUCCCCAAACUAGGUAAACAGUACAUUUUUAUAAUGGUGAUAUAACUGAAAGAGCAUUGCUAGGCUUUUAUGAACCUUAUGUUUUCUGUUGGUAUUCCUUCAACUAAUGUAUCUCUUAAAGGUCAUUCUGCAGCACGAUUGAAAGACCAGAUGUAUUUUCAUGAUGUACAGAACAGAUGUAAGUUUCUGCACUAAUCUGGGUUUAGGAAACUAUAGUGCACAGUGAGUGGAAAAUGUAUUAUUCUACUGUGUCAAAUAAACGAUUAUGUUGGAUGUGUGAAAUAAUGCAUAUAGUUAAAGGUUAUGGUAGAAUAGUGUUAAAGAAAUUCAUUGUUUCUGGGCCUGAUGGUAAUAUGAAUGAUAAAAAGGUGAUGACUAUUAUAGCCUUGAAGCAUUACAGUCAUUUUGCUAUGAUAAUAGUCCUCAGAUUUGGUUAUAGCCCUAAUAUGUUACCUGAAAGUUAGAAUCAGAUUCUGAGGUCUGUUGGCACAUAAUGAUUACUUAUUGUCUAGAAUGUAAUUUCUGAAGGAAAAUGAGAGUUGAUGUUGAGGAUAAAUCUUUUCUCUUUUCCCUUGCUUUCUUUUUUUUUUUUUUUUUUUAAGAAAAGCUAAAUAUGGAGUUUGUAUUUCAGAGAAGGAAUCCAUUUAGGAUCAUUUCUAGCUUGAAAUAUGCCAUGAUACAGAGCUCUCCUGCUUCAUGCUUUUGUCACUCUUUGUACCAAACUAUUAUGGACCAUGGGCGAGUAAUGAUUCUGGUGUUUGAAGCAAUACACCAAAGCUGUCAAGUGAUGGAGAGCUUCAAAUCACCCCCUACUGAGUGGAGUGGCUUUACUUUUGAGAUACUUUAAACAGGCAUGUACAAAGGGCGCUCACAGAAACCUGUCCUGGCUGUUAGCCUUGUCUGAGGGGUUACAGGGUCAUCUAUCUGAAGGACACAGGCUCUGAGGUGACUUUUCUCAGAGUUCCAGCCCUCCCCUUCCCUAUGGAAGUACGUAGCAGGAGAAAGGAGUCAGAAUCACAAUUUUUACUCAUUCCCCACCACCCCAGACAGAUGGCCUAGCUCUGUUUCAAACUGUACCCAUCAAUAUAGUUUUAGCACUUCACAAUCCUUAAUGCUUGUUUAAUCCAUCAUUUUUAGGACUCUUAAAUGAAGGACACACUGUCCAUGGUCAGCGCUACCAAAGCAAACUGCUUUGAUUUGAUUGCAAUGCUCACUAUAACAAGGUCACAUAAUAGAGCACAUAGCAGCAGAAAGACUAAUAAUAAAUUCCAUUGUUUAUAAUAAGCAUAUAAUAAAGUUUAGUAAAUUGUGAAAGUCAAGGCUUUUUUUUUGUGUCGCGGAUUCUUCCUCUGUAGAGAAACACACACACAGAAGAAAAGAAAAGGAAAAGAAUGAGAAUAAUGUCCCAGCUAAAGCUGAGCUGUUUCCAGACAAGCUGAGAAAGAAAGGAAACGCUGUCACAAUUAUGACAAUGCAGAACGAAAAUUGAAUAUUUGUUCUGUAGUUUGUGCUCUGAUGUACUUUAGGGGACCAGGAAAUGUUUGAUUAAAAAGGGAGUUGUGUUCACAGGGUGCAUUAUUCAUUCCAAAUUUCACUUUUAUAACUCAGGACAGUCAAACACAUUACUUACCCCAGAACCUAUCUGCUGUCUCUUUAUUUCUGGAGCUUCACAUAGGUGACUGGAAAUCAAGCAUUCAGAGGAGAUACUGAAGUUAAGUAUUAAACCUGACAGCUCUUAUAUGUCUAGUAAGAUAAUUGAUUUCAUGUUUUGCUAACCUACUCUGCAGGUUAAAGUGGCAAGGUUAGUUCCAUUUCAUAGAGCAGUCACUGAAUUAUUAUUUUUAAGGUUUUAAAAGCACAGAGGCAAUUUACAUUUCUAUUUUCCUUUCUAAACAUUUAUAUAGAUGAAGAAUAUAGUGAACACUUGCGCAGGAAAGAAGAUAAAUUCAGCCCUGAAAGUUCCUAUGAGGGAAAAAAACUAAAAAAAUAUUAAAAAUAACUUAAAUUCUUAGAGGGAGAGGUUAUAUGUUUAUUUUAUCUCUCUUUGUUCUCAUCCAUUUACUGUCUGUUUGUGGCCUCUUUUUGGAGUGGGGAGCUGGGGAGUGCUUGGCAAUGGCAACAGUCUGAGUUAUUUCUGGCAUUUUAGAGUUUAAAGGCAAACAAAUUAACACUUUUAAGUGAUAUGAUACCAAAAAUACAUUGGCAUAACAUCACUGCAGACAAAUUUUUAUUUUAUUGACUUUCUUCUACAUCAGAAGUAUUUUGGAGAAGAACCGAUACUUCUCCAAUGUCCUUGGUAGAAGGGCUUUUUGCUGGGCGAUGCUCAGGCUGGAGUAAACUGUUAUAAUGCCCCCAAAGGAAAAUCAAUCUGUAUUUCGUUACGCUGCUCUUUUUUACACACAUAUAUACUAAUAUAAGGAAAUAAAGGUGGGAUUGACAGAAUAUUGCUGGAAAGGUGAAAGUUGCUCAACUUUCCCUUUACUUCAGACUCAUCUCGACCCAUCAGCAGAGCAAUUUAAAUGUGAGUCCCUCACUUUGCAGGAAGAUCCCUAAACUGGUAAUAAGGUGUUUUGGGUUGAAUUGCCUGCAACCUUCCCAGGUACUGCAGACUCACUUAAAUACACCUGUAAAAGAGAGGUUGCUUCUUUGAGCAGCUACUCCAGGUACUUGAUUCGCAUCCCAGUCUCACUCAACAGUCAUACACAUUAUGCCAAGUGGAAAAUCAUUAACUUCAGGAUGAAUUAACGAGAUAAUGUCUUUUUACUGACUGUUACAAGUGCCAUGGCCCACGCCUGUUGAAGUAACAGAAUUUCUACCUCAGUAAGGAUCAAAUCAGGCUGUAUAUGGCCAGAGGCAGCUUCUUUUUCCAAGUAGUUUUCACUCUGUAUUUAUGGUGAGAAAUGAGUGUCACUUUCUUUUUGCACAUUAGGACUGCUGAGCUGAAGUAAAUGGGUAUAACUUUUAAUUCUAUAAUCUUAUUAUCCUAGCUCCAGUAAAAACUGAUAAUGAAAUCUGAAGAUAUUGAGAACUUGGACUUUUUUCCCCGAAGUUUAACUUAAGUUUUUUUUUUUUCAAGCAACGUGGUGCUUACUAUAGUCAGUCUCUUUUUAAGACUAUCCAGGGAAACAUAAACCCUUGCAGCAAGUCAUUUUCUGUCAAAAUUACAUCUGACCUGCAUAUUUUUGCAAUUCUCUGAUGCAUUAUACAGUCAGAUCAGGUUGUUCCUUGACCAGUUGUUCACCCCUAUCAAUUGCAUUAGCAUUUAACCUGUCAGUUUAAAUUACAAAGGUAACAAAGGUUUAGGAAGGUUACAAUAGAUCCAAUCUCACACGGAAGUGUGGAAAAAUAAUCUUAAAUCAUCCUUCAAUGUGAGUGUUAUUUCUUCUCCUGACAUACACAUACUCACCUUUUAGAAGCAUCACCGUAAAUGUGGGCAACUUUUUAUGGUGAAGACUACAUGAGAUCAGCAAAGCAUGUGAAAGAAGAGAAGCACUGGCAAUAGGAUGAGUCUUCCUAAAGUAUCAAGGGACAAUCAGUCACCACUUGUGCUCAAUAAACUAAGAGAUGAUACUACAGGAAUCAAUGCAGCUCAGUAGAGAUUUGAAAGAUGUGC